UCAAAUCUAUUUUCUUGCCGACGCCUAAAAAUAAUAGAGGUAGCACUUACCAUCUUUUUGAGGAGACAAGGAACUCUUACAGAAAAAAGCGCAUGCAUAUAUAUGUAUGUAUUUUGAUGAGACCAUUAUGAUAACUUUUGGUCUCCUGCAGAAUUUUUGGGAUUUACUUUCCUAAACACUUGUCCGGUGCCCAUCUUAUUGAUUUUUGGAACUUGCUUAACUAUUCUAGGGCUUAGUUUACUAAUUUAAAUUAUUUCAAUCUGUGCAACUAGGCUGAGAAACAGAUCGAAAUGUACACCGGGCAAGGGUUUUCUGGCUUACCAAUUUGCAUGGCAAAAACCCAGUAUUCAUUUUCACACAAUGCCGCCGAGAAGGGAGCCCCAACUGGGUUUAUCUUACCGAUAAGGGAUGUAAGAGCUAGCAUUGGGGCUGGAUUCAUUUAUCCUUUGGUUGGAACAAUGAGUACAAUGCCAGGUCUCCCAACAAGGCCGUGCUUUUACGAGAUUGAUGUCGACACUGCAACUGGAAAGGUUGUUGGGCUGUCUUAAGAUCCCACAAAGCACUCCCGUGUGGUUCUCAAAGAUGCUCUCUUUAGCAGUUCUCGAAAGCAACAACUGAGCUGAGGGCUCCCUCCCACCCCAUUGCUGUUAUUCUAACCUCGAUUUGUACACUUCGUGCACCUGUGCUAUAUGCUGUGUUAAUAAGAACCGAACACAAAAGAACCGGGAGAAUAAAUCUGGUUUCAUCUUUCUGCUUUGAUUUACCUAUGAUGCCCAUAUCCCAACUGAUUUGAUACCCAUCCGAAAUUGCCUUUUGUUAGGUUGUUUUUGAAUUUUUAUUCCAUGAUCAGUGUGCCGGUUUUGUGUUACCAUAUCACAUAAGUUUGAGGUACAACUUUUUUUAUUCUUCGUACAACCAAUACUUAGAAAUGUUACAUAUUUGAGAUAUCAAAGUUUAAAUGCUACCGGGCGGGCCAUGCACCGGCGGUUUGCCAUCCUUGACAAGGAUUGACUUGCAAAUGUAACAUGGAGAGUUGAGUUCAAAGUUCAAGCCCCCUCAUCCAUUUAAUUCGUUUUGUAUUAAUCUAAAAUGCCCACAAAAAAAAAAGGGGACGAGAAAGUUGGCUAUUCAUAUUUUAGGGUCUAGCUAACGUGCAACUGUUGCACGGUAUCCCCUAUUUUGUCUUCUUGUGUUUUUCCUGUUACAUUUAAUGCAGAGUAGAUUCAAACUCAACGGUGGAAUGCUAUAGUUUGGUAAUUAACGCUACACUCCCUGUCGUAUACUGAAAUUCUAAACAAAAUAAAUGUUUCAAAAUUUUGACACAUAAAUUCAUAUUGUAUUAAAUUUGUAAAUAAUUUAAACAAUUAAAAAAUGGGUAGGCUGUCUUGAGUUAAAAAAUUUGACAUAAAAAUAAAAAUAAAUAUCAAUAUCUAACUCUCUUUUUUUCUAAUUUUAGGAGUGAGAUAAGUAAUGAUUUCACAUUAAAAUUCAAUUAAUAAAUUAGCUUAAAAAAUAAAACUAGCAUGACAUUACUAAAAUAAAAUAUUAAAUAAAUAAUUAUAAAAACUUUAUGUUUUAUCUUCUUUCCUUACACUUUAGUCACCACUUUAAAAUAUAUGCAUAUUACACUUUAAAUAAAAAUAACUACAAUACAAUUUCAUUUCAAAGUGAUUAGUUAUUCACAAACAACAAAACUUAAACUUUAGAUUUAAACCAAUAUGUCAUCAAUGACUUAUAGCUAAUAGAUUUGAUUUGUUAUUUUAAUUUAUUCAAUUGCCAUGGCCUCACAAUUGUCAUCCAAAUAUUCAAAUCAAAUUGCUGCAUUUUGCCUUAGUUGUGAUGUGAAAAAUAAUUGAGAUAAUUGAUUAGUUAAUGAUAUUUUAAUUUGAAAGGAGUUACUGACUAAUGAUUGAUUAAUUAUCUAAGUGGGGAAAAAGGGAAUGGAAUAUCUGAAUAUAAAGAAGAGGAAAAGAGAAAAAAAAAUAAAGUUAUGAUAAAUUUAUAAAUAAACUAUGAAUAAAAAAGAAAGUAGGGAAUCAAAGAUAAAAGUAAAACUGCGGUACCGUACAACAGUUGCACCACAGUUUUAUCCCGUAUUUUAAGGCAAUAAAUUUAAAUGUUGGGAAUCUUUCCAAACCAAAUUCACAAUUGUUACAUUUAUUCUACAAAAUACCACCAAAUUUCAUUUUCAUGCUACACAUGCAUUUAAGGCCAAAUAUAGGGGUUUGAUGAGAAUUGCCGCUUCAUAAUUCUUCCGUUGGUUUGAUCUGAUCAAUUUGCCAUACAAACGGGGAUGUAGCUCAGAUGGUAGAGCGCUCGCUUAGCAUGCGAGAGGUACGGGGAUCGAUACCCCGCAUCUCCAAAUUUGUCUAAUAUUUUAAAGAGUUACGCUAUUGGCAUCCCUUCAUAAUCCAUCUCUUUUGAAACCCCUCUUGUUUUGAAUUUACAAAUUUAUCCUUUAUAUUUUAAAUUAUAUUAAAAAUAAAAUUUAUCUAAUUUAAUCUACCUACGUUUUCUUUGCCUUUUUAUCUAUAAUAAACUCAUUAAAAUCUACAAAAUUUGAAAAAAUAUUGAAUUGUCAUGGAAUAAGAAUUUGAUCUAAAUAUAAACUAAGUUUUUGUAGAAAAGAUAAUUUUGUAAAGUUUGUUUACUUGGACCAAAUUUUUCUUUCAUAUAUGCAUUAUUCGUCCUUAUAUGUACACUCAAGUUAUUAACUGCUAAGAAAAUAAAGAGAAAUGGAAACAAAAAUUAAAAAUUCAUGAAUGCUAUAAUAAAGAAGAAAUUGCAAGUGGUUUGAAAUGGGAGAGAGGAGAGAGAGAGAGCGCCUAACAUAAUUUUUUUUUCAAGGUAAAUUAUCAUUGUACCACAUUUCUUUUGUCUUAUGUUCAUCUAACCACCACAAAAUUUUAACAUAUUAUUUGCACCACAUUUCUUUUUAAAUUUAUAUCAAUUAGCUACUUUUGAACUAAUACCGUUAAAUAACUUAAAUAAAAUGACAAUUUUACCCCUAAAUUUAAUAAAGAAAUAAAUCCCAAAAUUAGAAUUUUUAUUUUUUAACAAAAAUAUUUAAAUAAAAAAUUAUAAUUAUAAAAAAAUUACAAAAUUUUGGGAUUUAAUAGAAAUCCCCUAAAUUAUUAAAAUUUUAGGAUUUAUUUUUUAAUAAAUAAAUUCAGUUAUUUCAAUAAAAUUUUACAAAAUUAUAAUUUUUUAAUAAAUAAAUUCAGUUUAUUUUUUAUUAAAAUUGUGUAAAAUUAUAAAUUUUUAAUAAAAAUAAUUAUUAAAUUUUUUAAAAUCUAAAUUUUAUAAAAAUAACUGAGCACCUCUAUUUUGAAUUUAUUUUUUGUUAAAUUGAGGAGUAUUUUUAUAAUUAUAAUUUUUUAUUUUUCAAAACUUUUAUAAGAUAAAAUAGUCUUUUAAUUUAUUUAGAGAUAAAAUUGUCAUUUUGUUUACAUUAUUUAACGAUGUUAGUGCAAAAGUGACUAAUUGAUACAAAUUUAAAAAGAAAGGCAGUGAAAAGAAUAUGUUAGAAUUUUGUGGUGGUCAAAUGAAUAUAAGACAAAAGAAAGGUGAUGCAAUGAUAACUUCUCUUUUUUCAAACUACUAAUAUGAGGUUUAUUAAGAAAGUACAACAAAUGAAGGCUGUUUUAGAAAUUAAAAAAAAUAUACAGAAAUGAGGUUUGAAAAGAAUGUUAAAGGUGCGCCAAUAAUCCAACUUUAUUUUAAAACAUUUAGGGUGCCUUUAGUACCAUUUUCAAUUUGUUGUUUUUCGUUUUAUGAAAAGGAAAAUGCAGAAAACUUGUUUGGUGAGCUCAUUUUGGUAGAAAACUAUACAGUGAUUAAAAACAAAAAAAUUUCAUUUUCCAAUGUUUACAAAGAAAACAAGAGAACGCUAUUAUAGCGUUCUCUAUUUUAUUUCACUUUUACUCUCUGCCAACUGCCAAGGCCCCAUUAUCUUAACUUUUAUAACAUAUUACGUGGGCCCAUUUAAUAAAGAAAUAAUCUAAUAAAUAAACUAUUAUAACAAAUAUUUAAAUAUAAUAGCAAGAGUUUAUUCCAUACUUUGCAGCUUAAUUACUUAAUAUAUUACCCAAAUUGUUUUAAAUAAAAAGUAAUAUCAUAUAAUUAUUAUACUAAAUUAUCACAUUGUUCGACCAAUAUUCAGUUAUUUAAAAAUUAUUAAAGACUUUCAUAUAUUAAUGAAAAUAUAUCAAUAAUAAAGUUACAUCUUGACAGCUAAUAUAAAUAAAUAUAUGAUAAUUAUGAAAUAAUUUAAGAUUUUCUCAAUUAAUAUUAUCUUAUAACUACAAUUUAUUUACAUAAUUAAAUUUUUUAAAGAAAUUAUUAAAAUAUCUUCGUACCUAUAUGCAUUUAUAAUAAUAUAUAAUACAUCAUAAUAUAAUAGCUAAAUAGAUAAAUUAUUUAAUGAUAUAAAAUAUAUAUUUAUAUUCAUUGUAUUAUAGUAUUUUUUCAUAAUAGUUUCAUUAAAUAAUUCUCUACUCUCUCUCUCUCUUUUUGUCUUCAUUUUUUCAGACAAGCAACUAAACACCUUUUCACCUUUUUUAUUUUAUUUUCAAGUACUGUUAUUAAAAUAAGCUACCAAACAUGUUUUUAUUUUUAACAAAAAAUAAUCAUUCUUAUUUCAUAAAACAAAUUCAAAAACACCAUUUAAAUUUUGAAAAUGCACCCUUAAGUGUUUUAUUUUAGGGUUAUUUUUAGAAACCUCCCCUGAGGUUUGAUAUAAUUUGAGUUAAAUGGCGAGAUUGAUUCUAUUCUCACUUACCUCCCCUACUGUUAGUAUACGUACGACUUGACAGUUAGUUGACUUGAGAAAUAACUGAAAUAUCCAAACCAAUUAUUCAACCCAAAAUUUUGGUGCCAACAAAGUAAGAGUACGACAAAAAUAGCUUGCCAAACAUAUACCUUCUCUUCUCUCCAAAUUCAACCUAGGUCUUGAGUUUUCCAACUACAAGAGACGGCGGUUGGUCGGGCGUUUGACAACAAGUUGAUCUCUGGCAGCACGUGGCUCUACUUCCACCAUUUUGGCCGCAAUAUAUCACGUUAGUUUUCGGUAAUUUUGGCAAGCCUUAUAUUGUAAAUUUUUUUGUUUUUCGUUUGCCUAAAUUGAUUGAUGACAAAUGAGUGUAUAAAUUAUUAUAGAUGAUCAUUAGGAUUGAUUAGUGCGUAAAUAUUAAAAAUGGUUUAAUGAAAUCGGUAGUUACUAAAUGGUACAUGAGGUGAUCGACAAAAUGCCUCUUAGGGUUUGUUUGUCUUGUUUUAGGUAGAUUAAGGUGUUGAUGGUGCAUUCAUGCGAAGUCUUGUUUUGUAAGCUCAUUAUUUAGCACGAAAAUUUUGCAACAACUAGUUUAAUAGGGUAUUUUGUAUUUCUGCAGAAUCGCGCGCGCGAUAGGGCCUAUCGCGAUAGGUAGAGCUGGCAAAACGGGUCAUCGGGUCGUGUUUGUGUCGUGUCAGCUUCGUGUCGUGUCAAAUUUAGGUCGACCCAAACCCGACCCAUUUAAUAAUCGUGUCAAAAUAUUGAGACCCAAACCCGACACGGAAAAAUAAUCGGGUUACCCAAUAACCCGUUUAAUAUCUAUAUAUUGAAUAAAAAUUACAUCAAAUAUUUACACACUAUCAUACAUACAUAUGUACAUAAAUACAUACAUACAUACAUACAUACAUUUAUCGAUAUUAUAAAAUAUACAUAUCUACCAAUAUAUUACAUAUUUACACUAUUGAGGUUUUAAUUUUAUAUAUAUAUAUAUAUAUAUAUAUUAUUUAUCAAUAUUAUAAAAUAUACAUGUCUAUUAAUUUUUACACAUUUACACUAUUGAACCUCUAAAUGUAUGUAAAAUUUUAUAAAUAAAAUACUGUGUUUAUAUUCACCCUUUUAAAGAAUAAAAAAAAAAUCAUCUCUAAUAUUUGAGUUUUAAUUAUAAGAAUAUGUAAAUUAUUUUAAAAUAGAAAAUAUAAUCGGGUCAUUGAUCGGGUAAAUGGGUCAAGAAUUUUAACCCAAACCCGACACGGAAAAAAAUCGUGUUGACCCGGACCCGACCCAUUUAAUAAUCGUGUUAAAUUUGACGACCCAUACCCAUUUAUUUAUGUCGUGUUCGUGUCGGGUAAUCGGGUCGUGCCAAAUUUUGCCAGCUCUAGCGAUAGGUGUAUGUGAUUUAGAGCAACGGACACUGUCUCCUGGGCGACAGGUGCUUGUCUCCCGGGCGACAGGUGUCUGUCUCCCCAAAUUACAGAAAGCUUGUUUCUGUAAUUUCGAAUGCUUGUCUCCUGGGAGACAGUGGAUGUCUCCCCAAAUUACAUAAAGCUUGUUUAACUAACGCAUGAAAUAAAAAACCACUAAAAACUCAGCAACAGACUAUACUAAUCUCCAAAAUACGUUAAGGGAUUCCAUCACCACCAAACCACCAAUAUUUUACUUAUUUAAAGAAAUAAGUAAAUUCCAAACCAUCAAGUUGCAUGUCACCAAAUCAGCAACACAAAUAACAAAUAACAAACAUUUAAAUUUGUAUCGAGAGGAAAAAAAAUAUUAGUAUGAGUUAAUUGAAUUGGAAAAUAACACUAAGUAGAAUGUUACCAUAAUUUAAAUUACAGUCACAUGUGCAUUUUCGUAGCUUACAGUUGGUGACAAUCACAAAUUGACUGAAUUUCAUCAGCCUAUACAUCCAACAGUCGCCCAUAUACACAAAAAUAACAAAAAUAACAACUACACUAACAAUGUGCAAUGAUAGUUGAGGUAUACUUUAUACAUGACAUUGCCACUAUAAUGUGAGUUUGUUAGAAUCACAUUUAUACAAAAUAUACAAAAACUCAAUCUUGUGCCUAUGACUGAGUACAAAAAGAUGAUACGACAUCUUAAUUUGCUGGGAUCCUCUCAAGAGAUUCUUUUAUUGCCGUCACCUGCUCAAUGUGAACCUUAUCAUUCAAAUCAGGGAGAGCAAACUCAUUCUCGUCUGCUAAGUCAAACCAGUCCUUUUCUACUGCAAGUUCCAGUGGAACAGAAGACGAUUCAACUGGCCUUUUGCCCCCUAUCAUAUGAGAAUAUGCAUACAUUAAUAAGUGAAAAUAAAGUAAUAAUUAAGAAUAAUAAUAAUAAUAAUGACAUUACUAAACAACAACAAUAAUUGCAAUAAUAAAAAAAAAUAAUGAUAAUAGUAAUAUAUUUUAAUAAAGAUAUUAAUAAUAAUUGUAAUAAUAAUAAUGUAUAUAUAUGUUUUAAUUACAUAUAUAAGUGAAUGUGUGUGUGUGUUUAAUAUUUUUUAUUUUGAAUUAAUAUUAAGCACAAACUGUGUUUUUCGUGUGACAUGCCUAUUGCACGGGCGACAAAAUACUGUAGCACGGGAGACAGAACCUAUCGCCCAAACACACAAAAUGUGUGUGCAUGUAACAAGAGUAUGUUGCAGCCCAAAACACAAAAAUAGUGUUUUUGGGCGAUAGGGGUUGUCGUCUGCGUGACAAGAUUCUGUCGCUAAAAAACACAGAAACUGAAUUUGGGCGACAUAAACCCGUCGUACAGGCGACAACCCCAAAAACACAAAAAUUGUGUUCGUAUGACGUGAGUCUGUAGCACGGGGGACAUGCCUUGUCGCUCAAAAAUGCAGGAAUUGUGUUUGUGCGAGAGGUGUACAAAAACACUGCAAAUUCAUUAACAAAUCAACUUUAGCAAACUUUGGCCAGAAAAAUAAAAAUUACAACUAAGAUCUACUUCUAUUUUACAUACCCAUUUGCAUAAUAAUAAUAAAUUAUUGGCUUUAUAUGCCUUAUUACACUAUGUAUGGUGUAAAUCACAAACAUAAAAUAAUCAAUAACAAUUGUUUUCAACUCAUGACCACAUAUGACUGAAUCCAUUUUUCUUUUAAUUAAUUUUUUCACCACCAACCUAUGAACAAGACAAAUCAAACAUAACCAGCAACUACUUAUAAAAUCUCCAAAAAAAAGAAAAUCAAAGAUAUUUAAAAAUUUUAGACUUUAAUAAAAUAACUAACCUCUUACAAACUCCAAUACCAGUGGCAUAUCUCGGCCGCCGUCGAUCGUCAUCGGUCGGUGACUUUGUCCGACCACCUAUAUUUGUCUUCUUUAUGGGUUAUAUAUGCUCUUUAUGUUUAUUUCCUUUUGUUCCAGCAACUGAGAAUAUGUGAGUGGAGUGAAAAAUGCUUUGAUUGUUAAUGUGAGAGAAAAAAAAUCUCAUUUGCUUUUUUGUACUUAAGAAAGGAAAAUUCACUCUUUUACACAAUGGAUAUUGUGUAUAAUCGGAUAAUACAAUUAUCCAAUAGAUUUCAAAAUAUUUUUUUUUUAUUGUUACUUGAUUUUUUUAGAUUUUCAGCGUGUCUUUUAUAUUUUUGCUAUCAAAUACUAACGUUAUACGUGUAUGUAUACUAACGAUAGAGAAGGUAAAUGAGAAUACAAUUAAUAUCGCCGUCUAAUUGAAAUUAUAUCAAAUCUCAGAGGAGGUUUCUAAAAAUAGCCCUUUUAUUUUACUGCCCGUGCCACAUCAUGCUUAGUACCCACGGCCGUUGCAGCCGGAGGUGCCCGGCAGCCACAUGACUGGUGGCAUUAUCUACUCGCCGUUGAAGUCAACAUCAGAUUCUUUUUUUGUCUUUUAAUUAAAAAUCACAGCCGACACAUACUGUUGGAUGAGGCGGAGCAUAAUAUCAUCGCCUCUCUUGUUGGAUGAGGCGGGAAAAAAAUGGCGCGGCUCUAUGCCACCAACUCUUUCCUCAUUGGAGCUAAUAACAUCCAACUCAUUCAGUUUUUAAAUAUUUACGAAUAAAGGAAGAGAGUUUGUUCACUUAUAUCAUAUAGGUCCAGAACCGUACUCUCUCCUUCAUGAGAAUUGCAUAACCAACAAUUAGCAUGUGGUUGGAAUUGAAUCCUAUAUUCAUUACAUCAUCAUCUCAAAUAAUUUGAUCAACUAAAUUAGUGGAUACCUAUAUACAUAUUAAAACACAUCUCGUAAUAAAACGAUCAAAUAACUUCACUAUAGUAAUUUUUUUACUAAUAUAAUGUAACGCUAAAAAUUAAGAGUAUGUAACUUAAAAUUUUAUUUGGUAGUUUCUAAAUUAGAGCUUCUAUAAGUAACGUUUUAGUAAUAACAAUUUACGUUAAUUUUUAACUUAAAAAAAAAGUUUAUAAAUACCUUAAUAGAAAAGUAAAGUAAAAUGUUAAACUAAGGAAAAUAUAGUUUUAGAGAAAUCAUAUUAAACGAGCACCUAAAUACCAAAGGGUACUCCGUUGUGGAUCGAAAUUGGGGUUUUAUUUUAUACAAAUAGAAUAACAAUGUAAUUAUGUGAGAAACCAUAAAAGAUACGGACCUAAGUGCUAUUACCCCUUUCCUAGCCGUCACACUCCAAUUCAGAUGCAGAGUUAUGCUAAUCAAGGCUUCAACGUAGUACACACAUUCUACAGACUCAACCAAAACUAAAAUUGAUUUAUUAUAAGAAAAAAAUUAAUGGCUUCAUCAAAAACAGUGAGAAAAUUACAGGUGGUAUCACCAGUACCAGCAGAUAUAGACAUUGCAAACUCAGUGGAGCCACUUCAUAUUUCUGAGAUUGCCCAAGAACUCAACCUCAAGCCAAACCAUUAUGAUCUUUAUGGCAAGUACAAAGCCAAGGUGAUUGCUUUUUAGCUUUUUAUUCAUAAAUUUAUUAUUAUUUUUCCUUAUUUGAGUAACUUAUAUCAGUUGGUCGAUUCAGCUUAAUGGUUAAAGACAUGAUUUUUGUGUUUUGAUUGGUUUGUUGUGAUGAGGGUAUGAUUCAAAAACUGCCAUGUUCAUUUUUAUUUUUAUUUUUUAUUUCAAACUUAAGGUGCUUAGUUUUGUUAACAUAACAAAUAUGGGUGCGUAAAGUUGAAUGCAUGUUGUGGAUUUUUGUAGGUGUUGCUAUCUGUUCUUGAUGAGCUUGAAGGAUCUGCAGAUGGGUAUUAUGUGGUGGUUGGAGAGAUUACUCGAACUCCUCUUGGAGAGGGAGAGAUUACUCAAUAUCCUCUUGGAGAGGGAAAGUCUACUACAACUGUUGGGCUGUGUCAAGCAUUCGGUGCUUUUCUUGAUAAAAAGGUAGAGCUUUCAAUAGUUACAAUUUUAAGGCAUUGAGGUUGUUUCUCUAUUUGCCAAUCCAUUUAGUCUAGUGUAAUAUUGAAGUUCCAGUUCUCACACUUAGUUGUACUUCUAUAUCUGUUCCAAACAAUGUACUUUGCAGUUGGAAAGGUUUUGUUAUAUAACUGUUAUUCUGUGUUAAAUAAAAACUAAAUCUGUAUGCUCAUGGAGCAUCUACUUAUUCAUUCCAUAAGAAACUGUUUUCUCUAAUGAUGUUUGAAGAUUCCUAAUCUCUUCCAUUGUAUUCUAAUCACAGCAUCCCUCUACUAGAUGUCUUGCAUUUCUUUUUUAACAUGUAUUUGGUAAUGCCGUAAGACCGUAAAGUUCUUCUGCAGAAAGGUGAAAAAUUGGGUAAAUUGUGAUUUCAAUUGGUCUGGAAGUUCUGUGUGUUAUGUCUGAUGACGACCAAUAUCAGAGGAGUUAAGAAAGUUGUGUUGAGAAAAACAAGUUUUUUGAUUUGGAAAACUCAAAAGUAAAAGAUUAUUCAAGUUGAAUGGGUCAGGGGAGGCAGUUGUAACUCUUUCUGAAGCUAGCUCUCUUUAUCUCUCUCUUGCCCAAAGCACCUUGCAAUCCUGAUGUUCUGCUAGCAACUUUUUUUAUUGAACAAAUUUUUGUGGGUUGUUCACUAUUUUGCCAAAAUGGUGAGAUCACUUCGUAUGUAUGUGUUCUGCCAAUUCAAUCUGUGUUAUCAGCUGUCCCUUUUAUGAGGGGAAUUGAACAGACAAAUUCAUGUGCUUCAAUGAGUAUGUUCAUGGGUCCUUUUAUUGUUGUAACAGCACAUGACUGUCGGUGUUCAUUAUGCCCUGCUGUUGAUAGUAGAGUAAACUAACUGAACAAAUUUUGUUCUUCUUCCCUAAGUACAAAUCUGAAUAACCAUUUUGUAAAUUUCAGACAUUAACAUACUUGAUCAUCUAACUGGGUUUCAUGAAAAUAGAUCAGAUUUGGUGGAAGAAACUGUUCACUUUUAUUACUAUAAGGCCUUCCAUAAAAAGACACAAGACCCUAAUUUUUAGACUAGAUAGUGCUCAACAAGUUUAGCACACGAUUCAGCUUUAAAGGAGUUACAUGAAUGAGCUGCUUGUCAAGUUCCUUAAAAUAGGGUAUUAAUGAUUAUUAAUCUUCAACAGUUAAGAUAGAGACUGCCUGUUAGAAAUGGCCGUAGCUUUUUUGUCCAUCUAAAUCUUAUAAAUCCAAACAAGUAUAUUUACUUUGAACUUUUUUUUUCUAUCUCAAAAUUUAUCUUUGUUUGUUUUGUCUGAAAACUAGCUUUUCAGCUCAAAAAUAAAAGGAAAAAAGGGAAUAAGUGACUAUCAUGGUUCUGGGUAAUUUUAAUAGCGGAUGAAGCUGUUUUUGUGGUCGUUUCCUCCUUCAACAUAGAAGAUUGGAAUAUUUAGAGUGAUUAUCACAGUGCAGAAAUUGGAAUGUGACUAGUUGCUUUGAAUUACUUUGACUGAGUAUUUGUUUAGGCGUUAUCCUUACCAACUUUAUUUGUUAGGUUGUUACAUGUCUUCGUCAACCCUCACAAGGACCAACCUUUGGAAUCAGAGGAGGUGCAGCUGGUGGCGGUUACAGUCAAGUGAUCCCAAUGGAUGAGUUCAAUCUUCAUUUAACAGGAGAUAUUCAUGCAAUUACAGCUGCAAACAAUCUUCUUGCUGCUGCCAUUGACGCCAGGAUAUUCCAUGAGGCGAGCCAAUCCGAUAAGGCUUUAUUUAACAGGUUAUGCCCACCAAACAAAGAAGGAGAACGGAGCUUUAGUAACAUCAUGUUUAGGCGUCUGAAGAAACUUGGUAUCUCCAAAACCAAGCCCGAGGAUCUUACGCCAGAAGAAAUUAACAGAUUUGCUAGGCUUGAUAUCGACCCAGCUUCUAUUACAUGGAGGAGAGUUAUGGAUGUGAAUGACCGAUUCUUGAGGAAAAUUACUAUUGGUCAAGGCCCCGAAGAAAAGGGAAUGGUGAGAGAAACAGGCUUUGACAUUUCAGUUGCUAGUGAGAUAAUGGCAGUUUUGGCCCUGACAACUUCUCUAGCUGAUAUGAGAGAGAGGCUUGGGAAAAUGGUGAUUGGAAAUAGCAAGGCAGGUGAUCCUAACUGCCGAUGAUCUUGGUGUUGGAGGUGCUUUGACUGUGCUAAUGAAGGAUGCAAUCAACCCCACUUUGAUGCAGACACUGGAAGGAACCCCUGUUCUUGUUCAUGCUGGUCCUUUUGCAAAUAUUGCUCACGGUAAUUCUUCUAUUGUGGCUGAUAAGAUUGCACUGAAAUUGGUUGGACCAGGUGGAUUUGUGGUCACUGAAGCAGGUUUUGGUGCUGAUAUUGGAGCUGAGAAGUUCAUGAAUAUUAAAUGCCGAUAUAGUGGUUUAACUCCUCAGUGUGCUGUUAUUGUGGCAACAGUAAGGGCCUUGAAAAUGCAUGGUGGUGGGCCACAAGUUGUUGCUGGGAAGCCUCUCGACCAUGCCUACUUGAAUGAGAACGUGGCUCUGGUUGAAGCUGGCUGUGUGAAUCUGGCCAGGCAUAUUGCAAACACAAAGGCAUAUGGUGUGAAUGUUGUAGUUGCUGUGAACAUGUUCGCAACUGAUAGCGAAGCAGAACUGAAUGCAGUUAGAAUUGCAGCAAUGGCUGCUGGGGCCUUUGAUGCAGUUGUUUGUUCUCACCAUGCCCAUGGUGGAAAAGGAGCGGUAAGUGACUUAUCACCAUUAGACCUAACAAACAAAAAGGAAAUAUUUCUCAAUUUUCACCUCUGCAAACUACAUAACUGUAAAUAAAUUAUCAUUAAUCUGCAUUGCCCAUAUUUGGUCUCUACACAGAAUUUCUCGAAGGCAAUUUGAGCAGGAUGAAUUGUUUAACAACUUUUACACACCGCCUUUCUGAUUCUGGAAAUUAUUGACACAUCCCGCCUAUAUCUGAGAAUUUCUCAUGUUCUGCAGUCUACCUUUGCUUCGACCACUAAGGACUUGUAUUAUGAGUUUCUCAGCAAACUAGGAAUAGAUAUUUUCAAUCCAAGUGUAAUCACAUAUUUUGAACCUGAAAGACUUGUGCCUUUUCUGUCUAUAGUAUGACUCCGAGAUAGGCUCCUUUCAGGGUGUACAUAUUAUAUGAUAAGACUAAACUGGGAGAAUUGGUUAUUGAUAUCUUUUGAUUAAAAGCUCUAUUGUUAUCAUGGUUUUCAGGUUGACCUUGGAAUUGCAGUUCAAAGAGCCUGUGAGAAUGUCACACAGCCACUGAAGUUCUUGUAUCCUUUAGAUGUCAGUAUUAAAGAGAAAAUAGAUGCAAUAGCAAGGUCAUAUGGUGCUAGCGGCGUUGAGUACUCAGACGAGGUAAAUGCUUCAAACAUUUUUCCAUUGAUUCUCCAUGGAUUGUCAAGUGCAUCAGUCUGACUAAUUCAAUCCUUUCAAAAUCUGACAAAAAGCACAAAGUUAAACCAAAUGUUAAAUGUUCCUUUGGGUUGGUGAAAGCAAAAUCUAGUUGUAAAAUGCGUGUUUUGUCUUUAUCUGUGGCGUUUCAAAUCUAUUUUCUUGCUGACGCCUAAAAAUAAUAGAGGUAGCACUUACCAUCUUGUUGCAGAAGCAACUCUUACAGAAAAAAGCGCAUAUAUAUAUGUGUGUGUGUAUUUUGAUGAGACCAUUAUGAUAACUUUUGGUCUCCUGCAGAAUUUUUGGGUUUUACUUUGUCUUGUUGAUUUUUGGAACUUGCUUAACUAUUCUAGGGCUUAGUUUACUAAUUUAAAUUAUUUCAAUCUGUGCAACUAGGCUGAGAAACAGAUCAAAAUGUACACCAGGCAAGGGUUUUCUGCCUUACCAAUUUGCAUGGCAAAAACCCAGUAUUCAUUUUCACACAAUGCCGCUGAAAAGGGAGCCCCAACUGGGUUUAUCUUACCGAUAAGGGAUGUAAGAGCUAGCAUUGGGGCUGGAUUCAUUUAUCCUUUGGUUGGAACAAU
rnacentral:lncRNA from 1 species